rfam:Myotis lucifugus cont2.330, whole genome shotgun sequence.
GAGACACCCUUCUGGGGCAAGACUUGCUUCAGUGGGGCUUUGGUGCUCACUGAGUCUGCCCCCUGAGUGUGUCCUU